UAGUCCACGCCCUAAACGAUGUCAACUAGUUGUUGGAAGAGGAGACUCUUUUAGUAACGAAGCUAACGCGUGAAGUUGACCGCCUGGGGAGUACGGUCGCAAGAUUAAAACUCAAAGGAAUUGACGGGGACCCGCACAAGCGGUGGAUGAUGUGGAUUAAUUCGAUGCAACGCGAAAAACCUUACCUACCCUUGACAUGUGCAGAACUUUAUAGAGAUAUAUUGGUGCCCGAAAGGGAGCUGCAACACAGGUGCUGCAUGGCUGUCGUCAGCUCGUGUCGUGAGAUGUUGGGUUAAGUCCCGCAACGAGCGCAACCCUUGCCACUAGUUGCUACAUUUAGUUGGGCACUCUAGUGGGACUGCCGGUGACAAACCGGAGGAAGGUGGGGAUGACGUCAAGUCCUCAUGGGCCCUUAUGGGGUAGGGGCUUCACACGUCAUACAAUGGGCGCGUACAGAGGGGUUGCAAACCC
rnacentral:rRNA from 1 species